rnacentral:rRNA from 1 species
UACAGAGGUGGCAAGCGUUGUUCGGAAUUACUGGGCGUAAAGGGCGUGCAGGCGGUUGCGUAAGUUAGGCGUGAAAGACUUCGGCUAAACCGGGGGAGGUCGUCUGAUACUGCGCAACUAGAGUAUGGUAGAGGCGUGUAGAAUUCCGGGUGUAGUGGUGAAAUGCGUAGAGAUCCGGAGGAAUACCAGUGGCGAAGGCGGCACGCUGGGCCAUAACUGACGCUAAGACGCGAAAGCAUGGGUAGCGAACGGG